rnacentral:rRNA from 1 species
GGAUUAGAUACCCUGGUAGUCCACGCUGUAAACGGUGGGUACUAGGUGUGGGGUCCAUUCCACGGGUUCCGUGCCGUAGCUAACGCUUUAAGUACCCCGCCUGGGGAGUACGGCCGCAAGGCUAAAACUCAAAGGAAUUGACGGGGCCCCGCACAAGCGGCGGAGCAUGCGGAUUAAUUCGAUGCAACGCGUAGAACCUUACCUGGGUUUGACAUGGAUCGGGAGUGCUCAGAGAUGGGUGUGCCUCUUUUGGGGUCGGUUCACAGGUGGUGCAUGGCUGUCGUCAGCUCGUGCC